rnacentral:rRNA from 1 species
AACUCUUGUCAGUGGAUCACUUGGUUUGUGCAUCGAUGAAGACCAUAGCUAGCUGUGAGAAUUAAUGUGAAUCAUAGGACACAUCAACACUUUGAACGCACUUGUAGUCCUGGGUUCCUCCUGGGCUAUGCCUGUCUGAGCGUUG